rnacentral:rRNA from 1 species
UACGUAGGGUCCGAGCGUUGUCCGGAAUCAUUGGGCGUAAAGAGCGUGUAGGCGGCCCGAUAAGUCCGCCGUGAAAGUCCAGGGCUCAACCCUGGAAUGCCGGUGGAAACUGUCGGGCUAGAGUCCGGAAGAGGCGAGUGGAAUUCCUGGUGUAGCGGUGAAAUGCGCAGAUAUCAGGAGGAACACCAAUGGCGAAGGCAGCUCGCUGGGACGGUACUGACGCUGAGACGCGAAAGCGUGGGGAGCGAACAGG